CCCCGCCUGAGCACCAAGCCCAUCCACCUGCACCUCCUCAGCGACCUGCUGCUGUUGUCCCGCCGGAGGGACGACGGCAGGUUUUCCGUCAAGGAUUACGCCCAGACCUGCCACGUCAGAGCGGAGCUCCUCAGAGCCAAGCCACUGGGGCUCCCCGACACGGCCUUCCUCCUGUGCCUCUCCCACAACCACCGCGGGGCCAGCGCCGAAUUCAUCAUCAAAGCAGCCAGCGAGGCCCAGAGGCAGGAGUGGAUCUCGCUGAUAACCAGCCAGGCGUCCCCUCGGCCUGCGGGUGUGAUCAAAGCCCUGAGAGAUGCCUGCGAUGGUCUCUGACUCGCUCACCGGGGCCCAGGCCAGCUGGACUCCAUGCUUGGCCUUUCCUCUUCCCGUCCCUGGCUGCUCUCCCAGAGGACGACCUCCCGCGAGCUGCACAAGGGGGUCUGCAGCC